rnacentral:rRNA from 1 species
UACGUAGGGUGCUAGCGUUGUUCGGAAUCAUUGGGCGUAAAGCGCGUGUAGGCGGUCAGUUAAGUUGAGUGUGAAAGCCCUGGGCUCAACCGAGGAAGUGCAUUCAAAACUAACUGACUGGAAGGUGGUAGAGGAAGGUGGAAUUCCAAGUGUAGAGGUGAAAUUCGUAGAUAUUUGGAGGAAUACCUGAGGCGAAGGCGGCCUUCUGGGCCACUCUUGACGCUGAGACGCGAAAGCGUGGGUAGCAAACAGG